AAAGGAAUAGACGGGGGCCCGCACAAGCAGUGGAUUAUGUGGUUUAAUUCGACGCAACGCGAAGAACCUUACCAGGAUUUGACAUCCCACUAACGAAGUAGAGAUACAUUAGGUGCCCUUCGGGGAAAGUGGAGACAGGUGGUGCAUGGUUGUCGUCAGCUCGUGUCGUGAGAUGUUGGGUUAAGUCCCGCAACGAGCGCAACCCCUAUUGUUAGUUGCUACGCAAGAGCACUCUAGCGAGACUGCCGUUGACAAAACGGAGGAAGGCGGGGACGACGUCAAAUCAUCAUGCCCCUUAUGUCCUGGGCUACACACGUAAUACAAUGGUGGUUAACAAAGCGAAGCAAGACCGCGAGGUGGAGCAAAUCGCAAAAAGCCAUCCCAGUUCGGAUUGCAGGCUGCAACUCGCCUGCAUGAAGUUGGAAUUGCUAGUAAUCGUGGAUCAGCAUGCCACGGUGAAUACGUUCCCGGGCCUUGUACACACCGCCCGU
rnacentral:rRNA from 1 species